CCCAGGAAACUGGUUUUAUCACAACCAGGUAAUGUCAUAAUAUAUAAAUCCAAAAACUUAAAAGGUAGCAUGAAAAAUAACCAAGAAAUUUGCAGAUGUGUUGUAGAAACCAGAUACAUUCAGGUUAACAAGAGAAAAUGAGCAUACAGGAAUAGAAUUAUAAAAAAUAUGAAAUAAAAUUAUUAAAAGAAUUAUAAAUGGGUAUUAAGAAAUGACACACCAUUGAGAAGUUGUCUGCAACACAAUCCUGCAUGCUUCUUGUGAUAGCUGAUUAGAUUCUCUGGUUAAUGUCUUAUGCUAAACAUGUACCUGCAUUUGCAUGUGAUCAAGUGCUAGCAGAUAUAACUCACCCGAUUGUAAAUGUGUUUGGUGUAGCAUCUCUUGCCAGCUAUGUGGGACUUCACUUGUUUCAGCUGUUGUAUUAACUUCUGGUUGAGGUUGCUUUGUCUUUCUGCCAACAACAUAAACUUUGUGGAAUUCUGUUUUGUGAAGAAUCAUGCAUGACUGGCCACAAUUCACUCAUAGGCCAAGGCAUGUCAUUUUCUCUGAAACCAUGUCAUAAUUUGUGACUUGACUCCUAUUUGUUGCAUUUAUAUGCCUUUUCCCUCUCUCUCUCUCUCUCUCUCUCUCUCUCUCUCUACCUGUGCAGAGAAGUUCUUUCCAGAGGAGGUUUAGCAGAUAACAUCCAGAACAGCUUUUUGUGCCUCUGCUGCUUAUAUUUUACUGUAAAUUAUCCUACAAUUAGAAUUCUGGAUGUAGUUGUUUGCAGCAGUUAUGUAUUACAAGAAUAUGCAAUUUACUGAUCAUGUAAAGCUUUUUUUCAGUUGAGAUGCAUGAGGAGGAAACUAAGAUUCACAAGUGAUGCCAAAUCCAAACGCAUAGAGAAGAUGGGUGGCCAAAAUAGCUUUUUCUUAUUCUAGUGUUGGCUAUAACUAAAUGGAGCAGGGACAAAUCCAAAAGGAGUGAGCAGUAUUGGUUUCCAAAUCUACUGACUGUAUCCCUUGUCAAUCCAGGAUAAACUUACCUCUCUCACCAUAAGUUGGAGGGGGUCAAUCCCUUGCCGUUGCUUAUCCUGUGUGGAGCUCAUGGAAGCUGGAGACUGACAGUAAAG
rnacentral:lncRNA from 1 species